CCGGGCGCCGCAAAGGGCCCGGCGGGAACGAGAGAGCGCCGGCUCUUUCCGGCGUUUCUCAUGCUCAGAUUGCUCAGAAGAGGAUUUGGAUAUGAGGA
rnacentral:sRNA from 1 species